rnacentral:rRNA from 1 species
GCCCUAGUAACGGCGAGUGAAGCGGCAACAGCUCAAAUUUGAAAUCUGGCCUUCGGGUCCGAGUUGUAAUUUGUAGAGGAUGCUUUUGGUGCGGUACCUUCCGAGUUCCCUGGAACGGGACGCCAUAGAGGGUGAGAGCCCCGUACGGUUGGAUACCUAGCCUCUGUAAAGCUCCUUCGACGAGUCGAGUAGUUUGGGAAUGCUGCUCUAAAUGGGAGGUAAAUUUCUUCUAAAGCUAAAUACCGGCCAGAGACCGAUAGCGCACAAGUAGAGUGAUCGAAAGAUGAAAAGCACUUUGAAAAGAGGGUUAAAUAGCACGUGAAAUUGUUGAAAGGGAAGCGCUUAUGACCAGACUUUUGUCCGGCGGAUCAUCCGGUGUUCUCACCGGUGCACUUCGCCGGGCUGAGGCCAGCAUCGAUUUCUGUAGGGGGAUAAAGACUUCAGGAAAGUAGCUCCCUUCGGGGAGUGUUAUAGCCAGUUGUGUAAUACCCCUAUAGGGAUCGAGGUUCGCGCAUCUGCAAGGAUGCUGGCAUAAUGGUCAUCAGCGACCCGUCUUGAAACACGGACCAAGGAGUCGAACAUUUAUGCGAGUGUUUGGGUGUUAAACCCUCACGCGUAAUGAAAGUGAACGGAGGUGAGAGCCCUUACGGGUGCAUCAUCGACCGAUCCUGAUGUCUUCGGAUGGAUUUGAGUAAGAGCAUAACUGUUCGGACCCGAAAGAUGGUGAACUAUGCGUGGAUAGGGUGAAGCCAGAGGAAACUCUGGUGGAGGCUCGCAGCGGUUCUGACGUGCAAAUCGAUCGUCAAAUCUGCGCAUGGGGGCGAAAGACUAAUCGA